GGAAAGAAUGGAGGCGCCGCGGAGCCCUGAUUAUGCAUGGGCUGGAGCUGCCUCUUCUAACCUGUUCUCGGAGCAGGGCAGCCCGCGGUCCUCAGCCGCCCACAGAACAGGAGCCGAAACAACCGUUUCCGAAGGCUACAGCGUUUAUUUUUCUCUUUUGGGGAAUUUUGGCGGUUGUUUCAGGGGCUAGCCAACUGGCCCCUUUAAUUAAAAGCUUCAAUAAAAGGCGAUCGCUCCAGGAAUGCACCGGCUUCUCUUCGUGCAGGAUUUGCAUAUUUUUUUAAUGCCCUAAUUUCCUUGAUGUAUGUAAAUGUAGCCGGACGUAGAGGGAGACAGGGAGCUGACGUCAAUGGACGUGACCUCGCAGCUAAACCUUGAACGUGAAGCCGGGAUGGGGGAAAACACGGAGCGGCAGCCGGUGGAGCCCGAAAGCAUGUGUGGCUGUAUUUUCGGUGGCCGAGCCCCAGCCGGAGCUGCCAAGGGCUCCCCUAGCAGCCCCAGGGGAGGACAAGCCGCUGCCCCGUGGCAGUUGCCAGCCUUCCCACCACAUUCGCAGACUCUGGUUCUGCUCCUUCAGCCCCACUAAAUACAGGUUCUUUUUUUCUCUCCCGGGGAGGGUUGGGGAGAAAGAAAGAAAAUAGAAAAGAAAAGAAACAAACACACACCUAAAACAACAAACCGAAAACAACAGAUAACAAAAUCAACGAAUCCCAAGCGUUUCAGAACAACGCUUGGGUCGCUUGUCCAGUAAAAAGAUUGACAAUAGGACAUUAUUCUUUUUUUUUUUUUUUUCUUGUCUCCACAAGAAGAGGAGAGGGAGCAAACAGACACCAGCAAAGCAUUCCUGUAACACGAUGUGCUACACAAGUUCCCAGUAGCGACAGACGCCUAAAGGAGCCUGUUUGUGUGCUGUGUGGCCACGUUCUGCUGUGACUGGAUCUUGUCUUCUGCCUGGCUCCUCGAUUUCCGUCCGGCUGGAUUUGGGGACAACACUGCCUGGCGCAGACAGAUCAAAUGACACUUCAAAGAAGCAUAAAAUGAACAGACUAUUCAAACAAAGGUAAUUUACAUUUUUUUAUUUGAUAAAACCUGACUGAUGUACAAAACGAAAAUAGAAUAUUGUUUACUGGAAAACAGGUCUACAAUCUCUCACACAUCUUCUCUUGCAACAGAUAGAAUUCCAGAAACAUCUAAGUUCCUCUGUGUACAGUUAUUUCUCCUGUAGGAGCCUUUGUAUGGAUGUAAUACACACAUAUAUGUAUAUGCAUAGAGCAUGACAUAAAUAAAACCUGCAAUAGCCUAUAAGAAAGAAGCUCCUAUUUAGAGGAAAGGGUAAGAUACUUUUAUUAUAAUGAAAGCCAGUUCACUUCAUCACUUGGACCAUGGACACUAAUGUAAAUAAAAUGGCUUAAAAAAUAAGACAAUAGUAGUAUUGACUGUAGACUACAAUUUGCACAUUUGUAAUUCUUAUAAAUGAAAUAUUUAAAAUGAUUUGGUGUUGGGCCAGUUCCUUAUGCAUUCUGCAUUCAUGUGUAUAGGAUUCAAAGACGUUCCAAAUAUUGAUCAUAAACCAAGUGUAUAUGAAUUAAUUAAAUAGCAUAUUUCUGGCCCAAAUAUGAGGAAAACCAUAACUUUUUACUGUAAAUCAGGAGAGAUUGUUUUAUCCCCAAAUAAACUAGGAUGUUUCAAGUCAUGUUUCAGCAAUUUGGAGACCUACAAACUAUCUGCAAGCAAGCACAACAACCAUACUCUAAUCUACUAGAUAGUAGUGAGAAUUUAGUGCUUGAAUUCAGGCUGCUUGAAUUCAGUAUAUCCUUCUCUAUGCUGAUUUUCAAGUAGAUAUUCUGUAGCUCAGCUAGAUAAUCUUUUAAAAGCAAAAAAAAAA
rnacentral:lncRNA from 1 species